rnacentral:rRNA from 1 species
GAUGAACGCUAGCGGCAGGCCUAACACAUGCAAGUCGAGGGGCAGCACAAGGUGUAGCAAUACAUUUGGUGGCGACCGGCGAACGGGUGCGUAACGCGUAUGCAACCUACCUUUAACAGGGGGAUAACGGAGAGAAAUUUCCACUAAUACCCCAUAAUAUCCUGGAAGGCAUCUUUCGGGGUUGAAAACUCCGGUGGUUAAAGAUGGGCAUGCGUUGUAUUAGGUAGUUGGUGAGGUAAAGGCUCACCAAGCCUACGAUACAUAGGGGGACUGAGAGGUUAGCCCCCCACACUGGUACUGAGACACGGACCAGACUCCUACGGGAGGCAGCAGUGAGGAAUAUUGGUCAAUGGGCGCAAGCCUGAACCAGCCAUGCCGCGUGCAGGAAGACGGCUCUAUGAGUUGUAAACUGCUUUUGUACAGGGAUAAAUGUAGAUACGAGUAUUUACUUGCAGGUACUGUACGAAUAAGGAUCGGCUAACUCCGUGCCAGCAGCCGCGGUAAUACGGAGGAUCCAAGCGUUAUCCGGAUUUAUUGGGUUUAAAGGGUGCGUAGGCGGUGCAGUAAGUUAGGGGUGAAAACCCGUGGCUCAACCACGGACGUGCCUCUGAUACUGCUGCGCUAGAGAGUAGAUGCGGUAGGCGGAAUGUGUGGUGUAGCGGUGAAAUGCUUAGAGAUCACACAGAACACCGAUUGCGAAGGCAGCUUACCAAUCUAUAUCUGACGUUGAGGCACGAAAGCGUGGGUAGCAAACAGGAUUAGAUACCCUGGUAGUCCACGCAGUAAACGAUGAUAGCUCGUUGUCGGCGAUACACAGUCGGUGACUUAGCGAAAGCGUUAAGCUAUCCACCUGGGGAGUACGUUCGCAAGAAUGAAACUCAAAGGAAUUGACGGGGGCCCGCACAAGCGGAGGAACAUGUGGUUUAAUUCGAUGAUACGCGAGGAACCUUACCCGGGCUUGAAAGUUAGUGACGGAGGUGGAAACAUCUCUUCCCUUCGGGGCACAAAACUAGGUGCUGCAUGGUUGUCGUCAGCUCGUGCCGUGAGGUGUCGGAUUAAGUUCCAUAACGAGCGCAACCCUUGCCGUUAGUUGCCAUCAGGUCAUGCUGGGCACUCUAACGGGACUGCCGGUGUAAACCGUGAGGAAGGUGGGGAUGACGUCAAAUCAGCACGGCCCUUACGUCCGGGGCGACACACGUGUUACAAUGGUCGGUACAGAGGGCAGCUACCCAGCGAUGGGAUGCGAAUCUCGAAAGCCGAUCUCAGUUCGGAUCGGAGGCUGAAACUCGCCUCCGUGAAGUUGGAUUCGCUAGUAAUCGCGCAUCAGCCAUGGCGCGGUGAAUACGUUCCCGGGC